rfam:Triticum urartu cultivar G1812 contig1178997, whole genome shotgun sequence.
AAAAUACUCCCUCCAUCCGAAAAAACUUGUCCCAAGCUUGUUUAUCAAAUGGAUGUAUCUAGCACUAACUUGGUGCUAGAUACAUCCAUUUGAAGGACAAGCUUUUUCGGACGGAGGGAGUAUUGU